GAGACCCAAAGGAGUGUGACUUAUGAAUUGGGGUGACAUACAAGUGUAACUGUAAUCACAUGUUCACGUAGACUUUACACUAUAUCAACAGGAAACUACAUAUGCGAUGACAGACUGAGAAAAAUAUGGCUGAAGAAAGCCUACCAUCACAAGGCGUAGGAAAUAUGUCAUUACAUGGCGUAAAAAGUCAGUCAUCACAUGGCGGAAGAAAGUCUGUCAUCACAUGGCGGAAGAAAUCUGUCUUCAAAUAGCAUUACAGACGUUGCUUUAAAAAGGAAGAUGACCACGUCCUACACAUUUUAUGUGUCAAUUUGUUUAUGCUUUUAUUCAAUGACUUAAUAAUGGCAUUAGGGAAGAAGGAACACUCGUACGAAUUUGUUCUAGUGUAAUGAAUAAGAAAUAUGUUUCUUUAUUUGUGUCUUUCUGAGUAUUAUAUUAGGGUUUGUUUUUCUAUGUGUAAUCUUUUUCACGGUGUUUUACGUAUUAUAACUACUAGGCCUAUACUUUUAUAUUCUAUUGCCCUGGAGUCUUUCUAGGGUUAGUGAUUUUACUAAUAGUGUUACUCUAAUAAAAUUAGAAUAUUCGUUUGUCAGUAAGGAGUAUCAUAUUGAAGAUAUGAUGCUUAAAUGAUUUUUUAUAAGAAUGAAUUUCAUAUCAAUAGAAAUGUGUUAUCAGUUAAAUCUAUGUUCGACCAGAACCAUUAAUUUAUAAAUACUAGUGAUAAGUGACGUAGCAAGGAAUUUGCCUUAAUUUGGAGGCCCGUGGGGUGGGGGCUUGAUCUCUUUGUGGGCCCCCUUCAUUUUGCGUAAUAUUUUAGAUUUAAUG